UACGGGGGGGGCAAGCGUUGUUCGGAAUUACUGGGCGUAAAGGGCUCGUAGGCGGCCAACUAAGUCAGACGUGAAAUCCCUCGGCUUAACCGGGGAACUGCGUCUGAUACUGGAUGGCUUGAGUUUGGGAGAGGGAUGCGGAAUUCCAGGUGUAGCGGUGAAAUGCGUAGAUAUCUGGAGGAACACCGGUGGCGAAGGCGGCAUCCUGGACCAACACUGACGCUGAGGCGCGAAAGCCAGGGGAGCGAACGGG
rnacentral:rRNA from 1 species